AAUAUUAGACAAUGGGGGCAACCCUGAUCCAGCCAUGCAGCGUGUGUGAAGAAGGUCUUCGGCUUGUACCGCACUUUAAGAUGGGAGGAAGGGCUUUAGGUUAAUACCCUGAAGUGUUGACGUUACCAACAGAACAAGCACAGGCUAACCCUGUGCCAGCAGCCGCGGAAAUACAGAGGGUGCAAGCGUUAAUCGGAAUUACUGGGCGUAAAGCGCGCGUGGGUGGUUCGGUAAGAUGGGUGUUAAGCCCCCGGGCUUACCCGGGGAACUGCUUUCAUAACUGCUGAGCUAGAGUACGGUAUAGGGUAGUGGAAUUACCUGUGUAGCGGUAAAAUCCGUAAUAUUAGGAGGGACACCCGGUGCCGAGGGCCCCUACUUGGCCUGAUCCUGCCACGGAGAGCCAAAGGCGGGGGAGCAAAC
rnacentral:rRNA from 1 species